CAUCUAAGCGGGAAACCAGCUUCAAGAUAAGUAUUCUUUAAGACUCCUUCGAGACUAGAAGGUUGAUAGGUUGGGGGUGUAAGGGCUGCGAGGCUUUUAGCUGACCAAUACUAAUAAGUCAAAGUUUUAACCUA
rfam:Fusobacterium varium ATCC 27725 genomic scaffold supercont2.6, whole genome shotgun sequence.